rnacentral:rRNA from 1 species
GACGAACGCUGGCGGCGUGCUUAACACAUGCAAGUCGUACGGUAAGGCCCGUUCGGGGGUCCACGGGUGGCGUACGGGGGCGUAACACGCGCGUAACCUGCCCACAACUUUGGGAUAAGGCUAGGAAACUGGGGCUAAUACUGGAUACGUGCCCCUUCUGCAUGGUGGGGGUUGGAAAGCUCCAGCGGUUGUGGAUGGACUCGCGGCCUAUCAGCUUGUUGGUGGGGUAGUGGGCUACCAAGGCGGCGACGGGUAGCCGGCCUGAGAGGGUGACCGGCCACAUUGGGACUGAGAGACGGCCCAGACUCCGACGGGAGGCAGCAGGGGGGAAGAUUGCACAAGGGGCGCAAGCCUGAUGCAGAAACGCCGCGUGCGGGAGGACGGCCUUCGGGUUGUAAACCGAAUUCAGCAGGGACGAAGCUUUUUGUGACGGUACCUGCAGAAGAAGCACCGGCUAACUACGUG